ACGUAAAAGCUAUUAUUAGGGGGAAACCUGUCGCAGCUACUUCAGUGAGAUUGAUUUUACUUUAACGCGUCGGCCACCGGAUGAAAAAUACGAAAGUUUAGCUCUGCCCGACUUUCGGGGAGACCCGAAUCUUUCGACAGCCAGUGAGAGACGAUUUAAUAUUCGGCCUCUCUCGGGCCGAUCGAUCGGAGCUACCUAUUCAGAAAUAUUGUUGGAUGUUCUAUUAUACGUAUUGUAUUAUACAUUUCGAGGAUGCCCGUUUCAAGAAUAAAAAUUGCUGAUGGAAAGAGUAGAUUACGGGGCCUCGACGGUGUCGGGAACAGUGAGGACAAAACUUUCGCGGGAUGGUAUUUCUUAAAAUCAGUUUUUGGAGCUUUAAGAGGCCAGCGUUGCCAAGCUCGUUAGACGUUAUAGAUAUGUACUCACUUUUGGAAUUCCCACUCUCGAUUGUCGAGCGGACAAACUUGCCGAGUUUUCAACCAACGUGAAAUGCAAUGGAAAUGGAAUGCAUGCUGCGCAAAGAGAAACGAUCAAAAUAUUAAAAUAGAGGAGUUGAAGCGUAUCGCCUCGGCGAUACCAAGCAUGUAUUGUAACAAAAUAUAUAGACUUUGAAUAUGUACAUUGCAUACACCCCAAGCUACGGUACAUUCUUCGCUAGUAGCUGAUGCUUGAUUUGCUUGACAUUCGAUACAUAGAUCCAUAAUAUGAUUACGACAUAUGGCACAAUUGUCUACCACGAUAUCUGUAAAGGAAAAGAAUCGUGUAAUUGCUCCAUUUCAUAAAUAAUGGAGUAACAUGAAUGAAUUGUACUCGGUUGAGAAUUACGAAAAUAAUGCAAAUUCUGUAUACAUACCCCAUGCCCAAAGCGCCACAGCAUUCCACUGAAAAGAAAAGUGACAUAAUAUUAAAAGAACAUGAAAUAUUAACCAUGUGAGUGUAAGAAAAUUUUCGGCUAUUUUUCUCCUCACCUUUUUCACUUCGAAACGUUUCUUCUCUCCUUUGCUGCUACUCGAAGUUGGUAAAUCACUUUCUUCAUCAUCAAUUUCCAUCAAUGACGCCAUAUUUAAAUUUUGAACGUUGCCAACUGACACCUUGUGUGGACAACACGAAACACGACGAACGAUUCGCGGAAGAAAGUUUACGAUGAUUUACGACAUAAACGACGUACGAUUCCCAAGUUGUUUAUCUUAACGUUUUGUGGGUGCACAGUACAACAUGCUACAUCAAAAUUUCCACCUUGAUCUAGUAAUCCGAAUUAUAUGGGAAUCGAAGUAAAGGAAGACGCACGUGUCUGCAUGUGACCUACAUUCGUAUCGAGCCAUAUGGCCGCCGAUUCCGAGCCGGGACCGCUAAAAAGGUAGCGCAUGUCGAGGGGAAAUAACGUCUGUCAAUCACAAGGGAAGAAAUCGUGUGCAGAAAAAUGGCCGCCGACGGAGUAACGUCUGUGUACGCCGAGAUUCCGGAGGAAUUCUUCUGACCGUUAACUUUUGUCUUUCCGAGAAAUCAUGGGACGAGAAGAAACGAGACGAAAAAGUGGAGUCACGCCUCCGAGGUCGGGAGUUAUUAAGGGCUCCGGGGACCUCCCGACGAACCCUGUCCCGAUGGUUAUGAAACAUUCUCGGGUGAAUUUCGAAGAUCGGUGUUGCAUCCGUGAAAGUCGAGAAUUUUAAUAGCGGUAUCUACGGGCUUAUUCAUAAAUCACCGACGAGUCGGAAGUGUAUCAAAACUUUCCACCCGUGAAAUUGUGCAUUUACUUGAGCACAAAAAGUCACAACCGAUAUUGGAUUGUAAGUUUUUAUUGCGUGUUCGCAUCGAACCGGAUUUAAUAUAAUAUAAUUGCAUAUGUAUAUAUAUUAUAUUGAAUAUAUAAUUGAAUAUAUUAUAAUAUAUUAAGCAAUUGAAUAUAAUUUGUAACUGAUCACGAUAAUUGAGGCACCUAACUUUAAAAUACGAAUCGACUGGAAAUAGUCGCGAUACCAGUCCGAAUGAAUUUUUCAAAUUCCGAAAAUGUUGUUUCAUCAAAAUAUUGUUUUAUAUAGUAAACUAUAUCAUUUUUUCUUUUUUUCUUUUGUUUUUAAUCUAAUCGAAAGUAACCGCUGUUAAGAAUUUUUAAAAAUUGAGUUAUUUGAAGAAGGUACGGAGCGACGGGUUUUUUUCAGAUGCACUUUUUACAUUGGAUGAUUCUGAUGUAAUACAGCACUUGAUUCGAUAGAGAGUUUACUAUCUGACGGAUUAUUUACUCGCCGCUAUUGAGGCAACGUCAAAUAACGUUUACAUGAUCGAUGGUUCUACUCGUAAUGCUUGUAAAUUUUCCGUUAACGUAAAACGCAUCUUUGAAACUUACGAUGAACGCGCUCGCGCGAUACGGAUUUGUCGCUGGAACGUUCUAGAGAGUACGAAGUUCGAAUAUAGUGUUCUCGCGUUUGAACGAAUAUAAGCGAUUAUCAGAGAGGUGAAAGCGAACCGUUUCUAAUUCCUCAUAAAAAUACUAAUGAAUUUAAUUAAAUAAACGUGAAUUUAUUG